UGAUCCUGGCUCAGAACGAACGCUGGCGGCACGCCUAACACAUGCAAGUCGAGCGCUCACUUCGGUGGGAGCGGCGGACGGGUUAGUAACGCGUGGGAACAUACCCUUUACUACGGAAUAGCCUUUGGAAACGAAGAGUAAUACCGUAUACGCCCUACGGGGGAAAGAUUUAUCGGUAAAGGAUUGGCCCGCGUUAGAUUAGAUAGUUGGUGGGGUAACGGCCUACCAAGUCUACGAUCUAUAGCUGGUUUGAGAGGAUGAUCAGCAACACUGGGACUGAGACACGGCCCAGACUCCUACGGGAGGCAGCAGUGGGGAAUCUUAGACAAUGGGGGAAACCCUGAUCUAGCGAUGCCGCGUGUGUGACGAAGGCCUUAGGGUCGUAAAGCACUUUCGCCAGAGAUGAUAAUGACAGUAUCUGGUAAAGAAACCCCGGCUAACUCCGUGCCAGCAGCCGCGGUAAUACGGAGGGGGUUAGCGUUGUUCGGAAUUACUGGGCGUAAAGCGUACGUAGGCGGAUUAGUAAGUUAGAGGUGAAAUCCCAGGGCUCAACCCUGGAACUGCCUUUAAUACUGCUAGUCUAGAGUUCGAGAGAGGUGAGUGGAAUUCCAAGUGUAGAGGUGAAAUUCGUAGAUAUUUGGAGGAACACCAGUGGCGAAGGCGGCUCACUGGCUCGAUACUGACGCUGAGGUACGAAAGUGUGGGGAGCAAACAGGAUUAGAUACCCUGGUAGU
rnacentral:rRNA from 1 species